CAGACGCUGCUCCUCCCGACCCCAAAACACCGCGCGCUGACUCGGCGUCAUUCCGCCGCCGUCAGGCCAGAUCGAGCAGGCGCACUGGUCCCAUCGUGACCGCCUACUCGUCUCCGUCCUUGUUUCUUCCUAUCGCCGCCGUAGAAGAGAGAAUCGAAGAAGAGAAGCCGACUGUUCCGGGUUUCCUUCCGGCGAAAUCACAGCGUUUUACGGCGUCUCCGGCCGCCGUUCGGAUCGUGUCUGGUAUCAAUAUUCACCUCCUCUUCGUGUUCUACAAGUUUGCAUAAUUAUUUUUGCGAUUUGGUCAAGUUUUGACAAAUUCCAAUUUCUGGGUUUUGAUGUUCUUCGACAUUGGGACUGGUUUUGGCAUUUAUUUGAUUUGAUGGUUAUGUCGUUUAAUUCCAUGUCGAUUGGAGAUGCAAUUUGAAGUGGUUUUCAGAAUUUUGAAGUUGGGUUUGAGUUCGUUGAAGUUGGCAGAGGACUGCUUGUGUGAAGGAAUCAUUUUGGUUGAGGAGGAUGAAUCACAGAGGAGAGCAAGCCCUCAAGUGUUCAUCCAAGGCCUCUGCUUGGAUAAUUCAAAGGGACUCCAGUUACCCGGUGAAUGGAAGUGGAAAGCUUGUAACUCGCAGAAUACGCGAGGAAGAGCAUUGGAAUCCAAGUAUAAAUACAUUAUUUAUUUUGAUUAGAGCUAUCCGCAAUUUAUUUACAAAAUGAUGCAUGUUGUGGUUUAGUUGUUUUAUAUACAAAUGUAUUGACCAAACCGUGAGAGAUGUGAUGACUUAAGAGCUAGGGGUGACACUGACUUCGUUAGGUUUGAUCCCUUAAAUCUCCGGAGGGUUUAGCUACACUGGUCAUGUGGGUUUUGAUCUUAAGAACGGACUCGAAACGUUGUGUAGUUUGGUAGCAGAUGCUCUUGCUAUGCUUACUUGUUACAAUAUAUCUUAGUCUGUCUGCAGGUAGUGUGCACUGGUACAAGAUAGUGGAGGAUGAGGUAGGGUGUGUGGUUCAAGUUUGUUAAUUGUUUCACAGUUUCGUUUGAAAGUCGAUUUCCUUAGUCAUAGUCUUCACAAGUUAGUUAAAGCUAGAUUAUUGUGUAGCUUUGUUGAUAUUCAUUUCUUUCAGAUAUGUGAAAUAUCAAUUGUAUCAAAUUCUGGACGAACAAUGUU